rnacentral:rRNA from 1 species
UAGGGAAUCUUCCGCAAUGGGCGAAAGCCUGACGGAGCAACGCCGCGUGAGUGAUGAAGGUCUUCGGAUCGUAAAACUCUGUUAUUAGGGAAGAACAAAUGUGUAAGUAACUAUGCACGUCUUGACGGUACCUAAUCAGAAAGCCACGGCUAACUACGUGCCAGCAGCCGCGGUAAUACGUAGGUGGCAAGCGUUAUCCGGAAUUAUUGGGCGUAAAGCGCGCGUAGGCGGUUUUUUAAGUCUGAUGUGAAAGCCCACGGCUCAACCGUGGAGGGUCAUUGGAAACUGGAAAAAUUGAGUGCAGAAGAGGAAAGUGGAAUUCCAUGUGUAGCGGUGAAAUGCGCAGAGAUAUGGAGGAACACCAGUGGCGAAGGCGACUUUCUGGUCUGUAACUGACGCUGAUGUGCGAAAGCGUGGGGAUCAAACAGG